rnacentral:rRNA from 1 species
UACGAAGGGGGCUAGCGUUGCUCGGAAUUACUGGGCGUAAAGCGCACGUAGGCGGUCUUUUAAGUCGGGGGUGAAAUCCUGGAGCUCAACUCCAGAACUGCCUUCGAUACUGGAAGACUCGAGUCCGGGAGAGGUGAGUGGAACUGCGAGUGUAGAGGUGAAAAUUCGUAGAUAUUCGCAAGAACACCAGUGGCGAAGGCGGCUCACUGGCCCGGUACUGACGCUGAGGUGCGAAAGCGUGGGGAGCAAACAGG